rnacentral:lncRNA from 1 species
CCAGAAUGCCAAAGAGCAGCAGGAUGGAUCCAGCAUCCUCUCCUGAUAAAAGAGGGCUAGAAGACGGGAGGCUCCGGGAAGUCUACUGGAGUCAUGAAGACACUGAAAAGUGAUGAAUCCACAUAACCAUGACACUGGAAAUGAAGUUUGAGUGGCAGUCAGAAUCUGGGAGGAAGCAUUGCUAAGUGAAAAUCUUAUGGAGCUUGACUAAAAAUCCCUGUCAGGAACCGUCAAAAGCUGUGUCCCUGACAUGAAAAAUCUUGCUGGAAGUUGAGAGAGGUUUAUGCCUACUCCGUGAUCCGGGAACACAAGACCUUUACCAACCAAAAAAGUGGAUAGCUGUUCUUCUGCUGUGAAGGUUAAUAAAGAACGCCAGAAGUGCCAAGCAAUUAACAACCCCAGAAGCAACCCUUAACCAAUGAUUAAAUAAAGUGGAUGAUUACAUACCCAAGCUCCUUCAACUCCCAGGGACAUAAUUCUGAGGGAUGGAAAACAAACUGAAACUGGCUCAAGUGAAUGCUCACUGGAAGGCUUACUGGAAAACUUACUGGAAGGAUGUGAGGACAUGUUCGGGAAUCUAUUUGCAGAAAACAUAUUCAGGUAUACUGGGAGCUCUCCCUCUCUCACAUUGUCUCCCUCACUGAAACCAGGAUUGCUGUCUAUUUCCUUGGGGCUGUUGCUGUCAUGCUGUCUUACUAACUGUAGUGUUGUGUUAGCUACACGACUGCUCAAGUUUAUUUUUUUGAAAAAUUGUGUUCCAUUUAGCCAGGAUGAUGCAAGUUGUUUCAAGAAAGGCUAUAAAAUGCUUGCAAUAAAAGUCAUGUUCAUUCACAU